UACGUAGGGUGCAAGCGUUGUCCGGAAUUAUUGGGCGUAAAGAGCUCGUAGGCGGUUUGUCGCGUCUGCUGUGAAAACCCGAGGCUCAACCCUGGACAGGCGGUGGAAACUACCAAGCUGGAGUACGGUAGGGGCAGAGGGAAUUUCCGGUGGAGCGGUGAAAUUCGUAGAUAUUCGGAAGAACACCAGUGGCGAAGGCGGCUGACUGGACUGAUUGACGCUGAGGUGCGAAAGCGUGGGGAGCAAACAGG
rnacentral:rRNA from 1 species